rnacentral:rRNA from 1 species
GAUGAACGCUGGCGGCGUGCUUAACACAUGCAAGUCGAGCGAGAUUAUUCUUCGGAAUAGUCUAGCGGCGGACGGGUGAGUAACACGUGGGCAACCUGCCUUGUAGAAGGGGAUAGCCUUCCGAAAGGAAGAUUAAUACCGCAUAAUGUUAUUGAAAGGCAUCUUUCGAUAAUCAAAGGAGCAAUCCGCUACAAGAUGGUGCCGGCGGCGCAUUAGCUAGUUGGUGAGGUAACGGCUCACCAAGGCAACGAUGCGUAGCCGACCUGAGAGGGUGAUCGGCCACUUUGGGACUGCGACAAGGCCAGGACUCCUACGGGAUGAAGCAGUGGGGAAUAUUGCACAAUGGGGGAAACCAUGAUGCAGCAACGCCGCGUGAGUGAUGACGGCCUUCGGAUUGAAAAGCUCUGUCUUUGGGGACGAUAAUGACGGUACCCAAGGAGGAAGUCACGGCUAACUACGAGCCAGCCGCCGCCGUAA